rnacentral:misc_RNA from 1 species
CCUACAACAAUUUCUGCUGUUGGGCGUCCCGGAGCUGUUUGUUUUCAGAGAAUAUGUACAUAAAUCGUGUAUCAGAUCGUAUAUUUUCCUCAGAGCAGACAACUAAAAAGAUCGAGAUUGCCACCACAGUCGCAGAAGAGUACAAGAUGGAAACAGUCGAGCAGGAUAUGGAAAACAACACGCAGCGAUCAUCUUCGUCAUCAAAUCUUUCGUUGUUUUACGAACCAGAGUUGCCAAGUGACUGCAAUCGCUGCGGCAAGGUCAUAUCCAUACACGUGGAGAAUUUCAUGUUCCAUGAGAAUUUUAGGGUGGAGUUUGGACCCAACACAAAUUUUCUGGUGGGCAAAAACGGGAGUGGCAAAAGUGCCACGAUCACAGCCCUGACCGUGGGUCUGGGCGGCACCGCACGUGCCUCUAGCCGUGCGGCCAGCAUACCGAAGCUCAUCAAAAAAGGCGAAAGGGCAGCCAAAAUCGAAAUAACCCUGUGUAACAUUGGAUGGAACCGAUUCGAUGCGGAACAUAUGGGACCGGACUAUCUGACGGUGGUGCGGCACAUACGCCAAUCAUCCUCGACCUAUGAGCUAAAGGAUGCACGCGGUAGAAUCGUCUCGAGGAAAUUAGAUGAUGUUAAGCGCCUGCUGCGCCGCUUUUGCAUUCAUGUCGAGAAUCCCGUUUUUGUGCUCAACCAGGAGGCUUCACGGGAAUUUCUUAAAAAACUGGAGCCAAAGUCAAAUUUCACACUCCUGAUGAAGGCAACGCAGCUGGAUAUUUGUCUGAAUGCUCUCGAAGAAUGUCUUGUGAAACGCAAAAACCUACACCGAGCUCUGGAAAAACGCGAAAUCGUAUCUUAGUUUACUCUCAGUGCCAAUACGUUUCACAUUGCCACGGAGAAAGCAAAUAUCGGAACAACUGGUGGCCGCCGAGGAGGAAAAAUUAGCCACACUCAAUGAUAGGGCAGCAGUCAAGUUGAAGUUAGAAAAAGCCAGCACCCAUCUCGCUUGGCUGUCGGUGGGCCAGCAAGAGGAGAAGCUGGCCAACUGUGAGCAGAUGAUUCAACUGAUGGAAGCCAAGAAGGCCAAGCUGGAGGCAGCCCAAACCCAGGAGGACUCCACACAAGCCAAACUCAUGCUACAGUUGAGCAAAUUCGAGGAAAUGAAACAGCAGAUCCAAGAUGUCUACAAAAACGCACGAGACAGAGUUGCGUGAAGCCAUGACCUUAAUGCAGGAGCAUCUUUCCAAAGUCAGCAAUAUCCGAGAACAAAUGAAAAAUGCCGAAAAAAUCCUGAGCGAGGAGCAGCACGACUACGAAUAUUAUCGCGGCGACCAUGCCCGGAUUAGACAGAAACGCGAGGAGCACACGGCCAGAGCGGUGGAGCUCAAGCAGCUGAUCGCCGAUAGAGAGGCACUCGUUAAGCAGCUCCGAGAGGAGCAACUGGUGACCAAAGAACGAUCAGUGUCUUGCCGAAGUACAAGAGGCUACCCAAGAGAUGUUGGAAAUAGGAAACACCGAGCACCGGGAUCUGCCAGAAGAAGAUCGUCUGAUUGCCGAUUGCCGUGAGAGAAUCGAGAAGUGCCAAGAAGGCCGCUGUGAGCUGCAGCUGAAACUUGACGAAAGCGAAAAUCUUCAGGCCCAAUAUGAAGCUAAGAAAUCCGUUGAAUUGAAGGCCCUCGAGGAGAUUACCAAACAGAUGGAGAUCCUCGAGCGAAGGCCCACGAAGUGUCCGAAAAAAAGCGUACCCUGGACAGUGAACUCUCGCAAAGGUGGAGCAGAAUAUGAAGCUAAAUAGCUGUGCUGCGGCAUAACCUGGUCGAAGAUGCCAAUCGUUUUAGACUAUCAGAAAAGGUCAUCAAUGAUCUGCGCCAGGUGUACCAGGUCAAUGCUAUAAAUGUCCAAAAAUAUCGCUAUCAUUACUUGACGAUGGUUCAGAAUAGUAUUGAGAGUACCCUAGAACUGCGACACUUUAAAGUAAGCUUUGAUUUGAAUCUAAAAGCAAAGACGUGGGACAUUCAUGUCUUUCGUGCUCUUCGUAAUUUUAAGACUAAGGUAUUUUACAAAAAUUGAAUAUUCUCAUAAUCGAGAAUAUAUUAAGGAAAAUUUACUCCAAGUAACUCCUACAACUUCUUCUUUACAAAAAUAUCACCAUAAGUCAUUUAUUUCCAUAAUAUAACAUACAUAUUUCCCAAAAAAAGAGUAUUUAAACUCCCUCUUAGUGGAAGAUAUCUUUAUGUCUGUCAUGGCACUGACGUGGUUGAUUGGGUUAUUGUUUGUCAGAAACCGCAAUCUACUUACAUGUGACAGUUAAGCGGCUCGGAAACCGGCACCAGACCAUCGAAGCUAGUGAAAACCGACUAGCAAAAA